rnacentral:rRNA from 1 species
GAGUACGGCCGCAAGGUUAAAACUCAAAUGAAUUGACGGGGGCCCGCACAAGCGGUGGAGCAUGUGGUUUAAUUCGAUGCAACGCGAAGAACCUUACCUACUCUUGACAUCCAGAGAACUUAGCAGAGAUGCUUUGGUGCCUUCGGGAACUCUGAGACAGGUGCUGCAUGGCUGUCGUCAGCUCGUGUUGUGAAAUGUUGGGUUAAGUCCCGCAACGAGCGCAACCCUUAUCCUUUGUUGCCAGCGGUUAGGCCGGGAACUCAAAGGAGACUGCCAGUGAUAAACUGGAGGAAGGUGGGGAUGACGUCAAGUCAUCAUGGCCCUUACGAGUAGGGCUACACACGUGCUACAAUGGCGCAUACAAAGAGAAGCGACCUCGCGAGAGCAAGCGGACCUCAUAAAGUGCGUCGUAGUCCGGAUUGGAGUCUGCAACUCGACUCCAUGAAGUCGGAAUCGCUAGUAAUCGUAGAUCAGAAUGCUACGGUGAAUACGUUCCCGGGCCUUGUACACACCGCCCGUCACACCAUGGGAGUGGGUUGCAAAAGAAGUAGGUAGCUUAACCUUCGGGAGGGCGCUUACC